GAUGAAGAACGCAGCGAAAUGCGAUACGUAAUGUGAAUUGCAGAAUUCAGUGAAUCAUCGAGUCUUUGAACGCACAUUGCGCCCCCUGGUAUUCCGGGGGGCAUGCCUGUCCGAGCGUCAUUGCUGCCCUCAAGCACGGCUUGUGUGUUGGGCCUCCGUCCUCCUCCCGGGGGACGGGCCCGAAAGGCAGCGGCGGCACCGCGUCCUGUCCUCGAGCGUAUGGGGCUUCGUCACCCGCUCUUGUAGGCCCGGCCGGCGCUUGCCGACACAUCAAUCUUUUUUCCAGGUUGACCUCGGAUCAGGUAGGGAUACCCGCUGAACUUAAGCAUAUCAAUAAGCGGAGGA
rnacentral:misc_RNA from 1 species